rnacentral:rRNA from 1 species
UUCGACCUGAACUCAGACGUGAUUACC